rnacentral:rRNA from 1 species
AUUGAACGCUGGCGGCAGGCCUAACACAUGCAAGUCGAACGAGUGGCGGACGGGUGAGUAAUGUCUGGGAAACUGCCCGAUGGAGGGGGAUAACUACUGGAAACGGUAGAUAAUACCGCAUACCAUCGGAUGUGCCCCGAUGGGAUUAGCUAGUAGGUGGGGUAAUGGCUCACCUAGGCGACGAUCCCUAGCUGGUCUGAGCGGAUGACCAACCAACCUGGAACUGAGAAACGGUCCAGACUCCUACGGGAGGCAGCAGUGGGGAAGAUUGCACAAUGGGCGCAAGCCUGAUGCAGCCAUGCCGCGUGUAUGAAGAAGGCCUUCGGGUUGUAAAGGACUUUCAGCGAGGAGGCGUUACUCGCAGAAGAAGCACCGGCUAACUCCGUGCCAGCCGCCGCGGUAAUUC